GUUACUCAGCAAAAUACAAAUAAAAAUGCACUUGUUCACACGUUAUUGAAUGAUAUCGAGGACAAAAGCGCAGUGACAGUCAACCUUGACCGAGGACAACCAAGAAUGUCACAUAAAAGGACUUACAAACAAUGCAAGAAGAUAGCUUCAUCAGCAGAGGAUGAUGCCAUAACCGAAGUGGUAUAUUUCAAAAUCCCUAAGCAAGAGGUACAGGAACCAACUGUGGUUGCUGUAGAUGAUGAUAUACCUCCCAUAGAUGGACAAGGGGGUCAGACUCCAUCCCUAGGACAACCAAGUCCUGCCUCAUCUGUUGUGUCUGUAUCAAGCCCCUCUGAACAUACAACUGAAAAUAUAGAUGCUGAAGAUCAAGAUGGAGGCUUUGGAAGAAUUGCGGGACUUCCGCAAAACUGUUAACCAGU